ACGAGUGGCGGACGGGUGAGUAAUGCUUGGGAAUCUAGCUUAUGGAGGGGGAUAACUACGGGAAACUGUAGCUAAUACCGCGUAGAAUCGGGAGAUGAAAGUGUGGGACCUUCGGGCCACAUGCCAUAGGAUGAGCCCAAGUGGGAUUAGGUAGUUGGUGAGGUAAGGGCCCACCAAGGCGACGAUCCAUAGCCGACCUGAGAGGGUGACCGGCCACAUUGGGACUGAGACACGGCCCAA
rnacentral:rRNA from 1 species